rnacentral:lncRNA from 1 species
GUCAUUUCCGUAACACGGGCUGAAAAUUUAAGCUGUAGAAAAGGGGAGAUAAUACGAAUAUAGCGUUCAUGUCGUUUAUGACGUCAUCGCCCUUUUACGUUUUGCAUGGAAGAAAGAUGGCAGAUGAAGACAACGGUAUGUAUGUUUUGUUAAUCUUUUUACACACAAAUAAUCACGUAUGUUUUUAUUGAGUCAUUGCCGUAC